rnacentral:rRNA from 1 species
UACGUAGGGCGCGAGCGUUGUCCGGAUUUAUUGGGCGUAACGAGCUCGUAGGCGGCUUGUCGCGUCGACCGUGAAAACUUGGGGCUCAACCCCAAGCCUGCGGUCGAUACGGGCAGGCUCGAGUUCGGUAGGGGAGACUGGAAUUCCUGGUGUAGCGGUGAAAUGCGCAGAUAUCAGGAGGAACACCGAUGGCGAAGGCAGGUCUCUGGGCCGAUACUGACGCUGAGAAGCGAAAGCAUGGGGAGCGAACAGG